UUAACGAGCGAGACCUGGGCGUGCUAAAUAGGGGCUACUACCGUUUUUGGUAGUACGUUACCUCUUCUUAGACGGACUGCGGGCGUCUAGUCCGCGGAAGCUCCAG
rnacentral:rRNA from 1 species